UACAGAGGUCCCAAGCGUUGUUCGGAUUCAUUGGGCGUAAAGGGUGCGUAGGCGGCGCGGUAAGUCGGGUGUGAAAUCUCGGGGCUUAACUCCGAAACUGCAUUCGAUACUGCCGUGCUUGAGGACUGGAGAGGAGACUGGAAUUUACGGUGUAGCGGUGAAAUGCGUAGAUAUCGUAAGGAAGACCAGUGGCGAAGGCGGGUCUCUGGACAGUUCCUGACGCUGAGGAGCGAAAGCGUGGGUAGCAAACAGG
rnacentral:rRNA from 1 species